UACAGAGGUGGCAAGCGUUGUUCGGAAUUACUGGGCGUAAAGGGCGCGUAGGCGGUCUUCUAAGUCCUGUGUGAAAUCCCUCGGCUCAACUGAGGAACUGCACGGGAUACUGGAAGACUUGAGUUCGGGAGAGGGAAGCGGAAUUCCGGGUGUAGCGGUGAAAUGCGUAGAUAUCCGGAGGAACACCGGUGGCGAAGGCGGCUUCCUGGACCGAUUACUGACGCUGAGGCGCGAAAGCCAGGGGAGCAAACAGG
rnacentral:rRNA from 1 species